rnacentral:rRNA from 1 species
CCUACGGGAGGCUGCAGUGAGGAAUAUUGGUCAAUGGACGAGAGUCUGAACCAGCCAAGUAGCGUGAAGGAUGACUGCCCUAUGGGUUGUAAACUUCUUUUAUAUGGGAAUAAAAUGUUCCACGUGUGGGAUUUUGUAUGUACCAUAUGAAUAAGGAUCGGCUAACUCCGUGCCAGCAGCCGCGGUAAUACGGAGGAUCCGAGCGUUAUCCGGAUUUAUUGGGUUUAAAGGGAGCGUAGGUGGAUUGUUAAGUCAGUUGUGAAAGUUUGCGGCUCAACCGUAAAAUUGCAGUUGAAACUGGCAGUCUUGAGUACAGUAGAGGUGGGCGGAAUUCGUGGUGUAGCGGUGAAAUGCUUAGAUAUCACGAAGAACUCCGAUUGCGAAGGCAGUUCACUGGACUGCAACUGACACGGAGGCUCGAAAGUGUGGGUAUCAAACAGGAUUAGAUACCCGAGUAGUC